UUGCGGUGCCCAUCUAUUUCCUUAUACUGUUUACUCUUCAAUUCAGUGCAAAUCCUUCAAUUUAAUCCCACUAGGGUAGCUACUUAGCCUCUUUUCUCUGAAAUUGUUCUUGUCAAGCUCUGAAUCUGGCUGGGGCUUGACAUCUCACGCUCCGCCGAUGCCGCCAGGUGCCGUCGUUCAAGAUCAUACCGGCGAAGUCCCACGCUGAGUCACCGCGACGUGCUCGAUGUGCGCCGUGAUGUACCUGCCAAGGUCGUCCUCGGCGAUUGAUCUGCAGCAGCAACCUCAUCUCCACCGCACAGUCAGGCAUCCACACAAUCCUCGCCAUGCGCGUCCUCUCUGCGUCCCGCCCUGUCCUCACAGUGCCGUUCAGACGCCGAACCAGAUAUUACUUGCCUCGCCUAAAUGUAGAUCAAACGCAGGAUGCUCAACACCGCAAUUGUCCGCCGGGACAGGCACAGGAAUUAAGAAGAGGAAAAAGGAUUGGGAUCGGCACUUCGCUCAGCUGAGCAGAAGGCCUCUGUCCUCUCUGACCGUGCCACAGCGUUUGGGCCCUUUUGUUGUGCCGUUUUCCUGCUCUCUUGAACGUAUGCAAGCUGUUCGCUGAUUUGCCUACACCAGCCUUGAAUAUUGUCAUGUUGCUGGAAUUGUAACCGGACUCACAAAUUCUCCGCUAAUGAGGAACGUUGGUUGUGUUUCAGUCAAAUUUUAUAGCUCACCAAGCAAUCCAGAUUUCUUUAAAGCUCGUAAUAUAUUCAAAAAUUUAUAACUUCUUUUCCUGCCGCCGAACAGGUGCUUUCCUUUAUGCCUAAUUGUUCACUUCCGCGUUAUAUAUCUCUAGGUAUUCUGUGUUCUUACUUGAACAAGUAAGUUAUGCUGCAGAAUAUUUGGGAAUUUGUGGUACUUGUUAUACCUGAAGUGACCCUUAUUAUAUAGCUUAUCUUCAGGCCACAUCACAUUAAGUUCAGCCAAAUAUGAGCAUAGGUCUAACUUUGUGCCGCCACCACCAUCUCCAAGCCGGCGGCAAGGUCUCAAUAUCGGGACGAGUGCGGCCUUUAUGCAGGUCACAAGCAGUGUAGUACCGCCUCGGCGGCAGUCCUAUGCCCGUCGGGACUGGCAUCUUCCCGAUUCCGACGCCAAUGGAUGCGUCCCUGCUCGCGAUUCGUCGCUGACGUUACGCACGGAUUCCACGCCGCCGGCCACUGCAUCGGUACCCCCGAGACCCUGACACUAUCCUUCCAUAUUGCAAUUGCCCAACUAUGCUUCUUUCUGCAACUUUGUUAUUUUUCCUUAUAAUGUCAUAUACAUAUACUCCAUGUCAAUUACCUUGUGCAAAACUAUUUCGUCCCAAUAGUGUUUUUUUCCUGUGUAUCAUUGAUUUCA